GAGCUCAGUUUGGCAGCACAUAUACUAAAGUGGGAACAAUACAGAGAAGAUCAGCAUGGUCUCUGCAUAAGGAUGACACACAAAUUAGUAAAGUGUUCCAAAAAAAA